UGACGGUAAUACCGUCACAUCAGAGUGUGGAAAAGAAACUGACGGUAAUACCGUCACAUCAGAGUGUGGAAAAGAAACUGACGGUAAUACCGUCACAUCAGAGAGUGGAACAAAUAUUGAUGGGAGCAGUGUUGUGUCUGAGUGUGAAACAAAAUCUGACAGCAAUAAUACAACAUCUGAGUGUGACACAAAUGUUGACGGGAGCAAUGCAGCAUGAAGAUUGUGUGAAACUGCAAAAUAAAAUGAAGAUACUGAAGCUUAAUAUUAAUGCCAACAACGCCAUGUAACCAAUUGUAGUUCUGUCUUUAUUGAAGAAUUCCAAGUUUAUUUAUCUUCAACUACUCUUUCAAACUCAACAGUUAACAAGGCAGACUGUAGAGCUGAUCAACCAAGCUGAAGUUUCAAAAUCCAUCUGAAUCCUUUUCAUAUAUUUUAUAUACUUGUGAAAUUUCUUUAAAAACAACAACUUUGUGUAUUGAGUAUUGAGUUUCCCCAGAGUCAGCUUUUGGUUGUGUUCUGGACUUGAACCGAGUAACAUUCUACAAGACCUACCACAAAUUAAUCGGUGUUCACAAUACAAUAUAAUCAUAAUACUACACUAUGUAAAUCCUAUGCCAUUGCUAGUUUUUUUAAUCCUCCUCUCUUUAGUGAUGCUAUUACUGAUUUUUUAAAACACUUUUCUCUUCUAUGUGAUUUUGUCCUUGUGCACAUCUUGAAGAAGCAACCUUGUUGAAACUUCUGAAUGGAGCAAUGUUUUGUUUUAUUGGAUACCAGUUCUGUGACUUAGGAAUCAGAAGCUUCUGGUAUUUCAGCAACAUACAGAGCUGAGAAUAUGGUGUGAGUGAACUGUGUACUGUGAAAUGUGAUGUGAAUGUUUUAGCAUACAGUUGUCCUGUUAAUUGUUUUUAAUUUAGAUAUACAAGGUGUGCAGUUUCGAGAGGAGGGUUAAUCAGUUACAUUGACCUCAGUACUUGACUGACAGUUUAUAUUAUGGUGGAGUUGUCAUUAUAAUAAAAUGUAUCACUUCAUAACUGAAAAUAAAAUUUAAAAAAAAAUUGUA